rnacentral:piRNA from 1 species
UCCACACAUGCCGCACCCACACCCUCACC